rnacentral:rRNA from 1 species
AUUGAACGCUGGCGGCAGGCCUAACACGUGCAAGUCGAGCGGAUGAAGGGAGCUUGCUCCUGGAUUCAGCGGCGGACGGGUGAGUAAUGCCUAGGAAUCUGCCUGGUAGUGGGGGAUAACGUCCGGAAACGGGCGCUAAUACCGCAUACGUCCUGAGGGAGAAAGUGGGGGAUCUUCGGACCUCACGCUAUCAGAUGAGCCUAGGUCGGAUUAGCUAGUUGGUGGGGUAAAGGCCUACCAAGGCGACGAUCCGUAACUGGUCUGAGAGGAUGAUCAGUCACACUGGAACUGAGACACGGUCCAGACUUCUACGGGAGGCAGCAGUGGGGAAUAUUGGACAAUGGGCGAAAGCCUGAUCCAGCCAUGCCGCGUGUGUGAAGAAGGUCUUCGGAUUGUAAAGCACUUUAAGUUGGGAGGAAGGGCAGUAAGUUAAUACCUUGCUGUUUUGACGUUACCAACAGAAUAAGCACCGGCUAACUUCGU